ACAGCCCCGUACACAAAAGCGCAUGUGCUGUGAGCUCGAUGAGUAGGGCGGGACACGUGGUAUCCUGUCUGAAUAUGGGGGGACCAUCCUCCAAGGCUAAAUACUCCUGACUGACCGAUAGUGAACCAGUACCGUGAGGGAAAGGCGAAAAGAACCCCGGCGAGGGGAGUGAAAAAGAACCUGAAACCGUGUACGUACAAGCAGUGGGAGCACAGGUUUACCUGUGUGACUGCGUACCUUUUGUAUAAUGGGUCAGCGACUUAUAUUCUGUAGCAAGGUUAACCGUAUAGGGGAGCCGGAGGGAAACCGAGUCUUAAUUGGGCGUUAAGUUGCAGGGUAUAGACCCGAAACCCGGUGAUCUAGCCAUGGGCAGGUUGAAGGUUGGGUAACACUAACUGGAGGACCGAACCGACUAAUGUUGAAAAAUUAGCGGAUGACCUGUGGCUGGGGGUGAAAGGCCAAUCAAACCGGGAGAUAGCUGGUUCUCCCCGAAAGCUAUUUAGGUAGCGCCUCGUGAAUUCAUCUCCGGGGGUAGAGCACUGUUUCGGCUAGGGGGCCAUCCCGGCUUACCAACCCGAUGCAAACUGCGAAUACCGGAGAAUGUUAUCACGGGAGACACACGGCGGGUGCUAACGUCCGUCGUGAAGAGGGAAACAACCCAGACCGCCAGCUAAGGUCCCAAAGUCAUGGUUAAGUGGGAAACGAUGUGGGAAGGCCCAGACAGCCAGGAUGUUGGCUUAGAAGCAGCCAUCAUUUAAAGAAAGCGUAAUAGCUCACUGGUCGAGUCGGCCUGCGCGGAAGAUGUAACGGGGCUAAACCAUGCACCGAAGCUGCGGCAGCGACGCUUAUGCGUUGUUGGGUAGGGGAGCGUUCUGUAAGCCUGUGAAGGUGGCCUGUGAGGGUUGCUGGAGGUAUCAGAAGUGCGAAUGCUGACAUAAGUAACGAUAAAGCGGGUGAAAAGCCCGCUCGCCGGAAGACCAAGGGUUCCUGUCCAACGUUAAUCGGGGCAGGGUGAGUCGACCCCUAAGGCGAGGCCGAAAGGCGUAGUCGAUGGGAAACGGGUUAAUAUUCCCGUACUUGGUGUUACUGCGAAGGGGGGACGGAGAAGGCUAUGUUGGCCGGGCGACGGUUGUCCCGGUUUAAGCGUGUAGGUGUGUGUUCCAGGUAAAUCCGGUUCACUUUAACACUGAGGCGUGACGACGAGGCACUACGGUGCUGAAGCAACAAAUGCCCUGCUUCCAGGAAAAGCCUCUAAGCAUCAGGUAACAUCAAAUCGUACCCCAAACCGACACAGGUGGUCAGGUAGAGAAUACCAAGGCGCUUGAGAGAACUCGGGUGAAGGAACUAGGCAAAAUGGUGCCGUAACUUCGGGAGAAGGCACGCUGACACGUAGGUGAAGUGAUUUACUCAUGGAGCUGAAGUCAGUCGAAGAUACCAGCUGGCU
rnacentral:rRNA from 1 species